rnacentral:lncRNA from 1 species
GAGAUUAGAAAGAAUGUUUGGGUUUUCUUAAUGAUCAUGCGAAAUAGUCGAUUCUUGAGAAUUAACCAUUCCAAAAUAAGGCGGUAACUUCGUCGGCUGAGAAGCGGGGUGGGAGCAUUCCAGAUCGGGGUCGAUUGGAAGUUUUUUGGGAUUUCAUUGAUCGUCUUCACCUAACCGACAUUGGAUUUAUGGGUGCGCUAUUCACAUGGCCCAACCGGCAUCAGGGGCCAAUAUGGUGAUUGAUGAGCGCUUAGAAUCAACAGUCUCGCAUCUCCUCCCUGUCUCCUCAGACCACACCCUAAUCCUUUUAAGGCUUGCUGUUAUCUAGGGUCGGCAUGGUAGGCUGUUUCGCUUUGACUGUCGCUGGGCUGAUGAUGACGCUAGAUUUGUCACAUUUAUUACGCUCAUUUCACUGGUAAUUCAAGCAUAAUUGCAUUGCUUUAGGUAGAAGCUUAGGAUGUUUUAUGUAUUUUAAGCUUUUAUCCCAAUUUAGUGUAUUGGACCAGGUCGGGGUUCAUUACAUGUCGUUUUGGAGUGUUUUGGAGUGUUUUGGAUAGAUUUUAGGUACAAGAUGACAUCAAGGCAUGAAUCGAAGUGAUACAACAUGCAUGGAUGAUCUAGGACAAGCAAUGAGCAACAUUUGGACAUCUUUAAAGAAUUUGGAUCUGGACUUGGUCGGAAAAUGUUGUAGUUUUAUAUGUUGGACAUAUCUCCUAGCUCAGACGUCUGAUUUAUGCAAGGCCGGCGGCGUUGUAAAUCUAGAUCAAUUCCCUGCAACAUCGAUUAUGUAACAUGUGUUAAAGAUUGAGCUUAAAGUGGUCAAUAAUUGCGCCUAAGUUAAGGCGCAAUUUUUUAUAAUGUUUAGGCGCAAAUAUCGAUAAAAAACCCUGAAAAUUCAACUAAACAUUGCGCCUAAUGUCUCCAUAGUUGCGCCUAACUUUAGGUGCAAUCUUUGACAAUUGUUAGGCAAAAUCUUUGACAAAUCCGACAGAAUUUAGGAUUGGAAAAUCCUUUUUAAAGGCGAUCUCUCCUCUAAUUCAAGAUAGAUAUUCCUAGACGGAACUGAGAGCAUAAUUCAGAGAUUUGAGAGCAUCUUUAAGGAAACUUUGAGGAUCUUGGAUCGAACAAGUAAUCAAGACAGCGAAUCAAGUUCUUUAGAAAGAUCAGCAAAAUUAAGUGUUUUGAGAUUCUUCUUGUAACCAUAAUUUUGAUUUAUUCUUCUUUUCAAUCUGAUUUGUUCUCUUCGAUUAUGAGUAGCUAAACUUCUCAUGUUUAGAUUACAUGAAUCCUGGGUAUAUCCGUAUGAAUGAAUGAUUUGAAUACAUUUGAUGA